UCCUACGGGGGGCAGCAGUGAGGAAUAUUGGUCAAUGGGCGGGAGCCUGAACCAGCCAAGUCGCGUGAGGGAAGACGGUCCUAUGGGUUGUAAACCUCUUUAGGCGGGGAGCAAUGCCGGGCACGCGUGCCCGGAGGGAGAGUACCCGCAGAAUAAGCAUCGACUAACUCCGUGCCAGCAGCCGCGGUAAUACGGAGGAUGCGAGCGUUAUCCGGAUUUAUUGGGUUUAAAGGGUGCGUAGGCGGAUUUUUAAGUCAGCGGUAAAAUGUCCGGGCUCAACCCGGGCCGGCCGUUGAAACUGGGGG
rnacentral:rRNA from 1 species